rnacentral:rRNA from 1 species
GACGAACGCUGGCGGCGUGCUUAACACAUGCAAGUCGAACGGGAAGGCCCUGCUUUUGUGGGGUGCUCGAGUGGCGAACGGGUGUGUAACACGUGAGUAACCUGCCCUUGACUUUGGGAUAACUUCAGGAAACUGGGGCUAAUACCGGAUAGGAGCUCCUGCUGCAUGGUGGGGGUUGGAAAGUUUCGGCGGUUGGGGAUGGACUCGCGGCUUAUCAGCUUGUUGGUGGGGUAGGGGCUUACCAAGGCUUUGACGGGUAGCCGGCCUGAGAGGGUGACCGGCCACAUUGGGACUGAGAUACGGCACAGACUCCUACGGGAGACAGCAGUGGGGAGUAUUGCACAAUGGGCGGAAGCCUGAUGCAGCAACGCAGCGUGCGGGAUGACGGCCUUCGGGUUGUAAACCGCAUUCGCCUGUGACGAAGCGUGAGUGACGGUAACGGAUAAAGAAGCACCGGCUAACUACGUG